rnacentral:rRNA from 1 species
AAACUAAACAAGGAUUCCCCUAGUAACGGCGAGUGAACCGGGAAGAGCUCAAAUUUGAAAUCUGGCGUCCUCAGGGCGUCCGAGUUGUAAUCUAUAGAGGCGUUUUCCGUGCCGGACCGUGUCCAAGUUCCUUGGAACAGGAUAUCAAAGAGGGUGACAAUCCCGUACUUGACACGACGACCGGUGCUCUGUGAUACGUCUUCUACGAGUCGAGUUGUUUGGGAAUGCAGCUCAAAAUGGGUGGUGAGUUCCAUCUAAAGCUAAAUAUUGGCGAGAGACCGAUAGCGAACAAGUACCGUGAGGGAAAGAUGAAAAGCACUUUGGAAAGAGAGUUAAACAGUACGUGAAAUUGUUGAAAGGGAAACGAUUGAAGUCAGUCGUGACCGAGAGGCUCAGCCGGUUCUGCCGGUGUAUUCCCCUCGGUCGGGUCAACAUCAGUUUUGUCCGGUGGAUAAGGGCGGUAGGAAGGUGGCACCCUCGGGUGUGUUAUAGCCUGCCGUCGCAUACAUCGGGUGAGACUGAGGAACGCAGCUCGCCUUUAUGGCCGGGGUUCGCCCACGUCCGAGCUUAGGAUGUUGACAUAAUGGCUUUAAACGAC